CUGCCCCGCUGCCAGAGCCCCAGCCGGGCCGUGUGGAUGUGCUCUGAGGAGGCAGCUCUGCUCUAAGAGCCCCGCGAAGUCGGAGGUGAGAAGAUUGAAACAGAGAGAAAAGAAAAAUUUUUCCAAGGUCUCCUGGAAAGCAAAUGGUGCUGCUGGAGGGAAAACAAAUCAAUUCAGAGGUCUGGGCCAGUUCUCUGUUCAAGUGCUCUACUGCCUCCUUUGAUUCCAACUGUUCCUGUUUCCCAAGAAAAUAAACAUCUCCACUACAGCUUCCAAGCAGAAUGUGAUGAGUAAAAAAUCCUUGAGCUGGAAAAUCAGACGCUUUCCUUCACUGUGAGAGAUUCUACACAGAUCUAAGAGCUUGGCAUGUAUUAUCUGGCAGAGCUGAGCAUGGCAGCAGUGGGACCCUCAGCGGCUGAGCUGUGACCUCUGCUCCUCACUCCUGAGAGAGCACAGAAGGAAGCCUUCAAUUUCAGUGACAGCCCAUGAUCCUGCAGCAAUUCCAGUCCUGAACCUUUUGUCCCCUGACAAGAAGAUUUGUUGUAACUUGCAGCAGUGUCGUAAGUACCAUAGAGGAGUUGCAGGUUUUAGGAAUAUUUUUCACAUCUCUGCUCCACAUCUGAUAUUGAAGAGAUCUUCCUCUGCAUGGGGAUAGCUUUUGGUUUUGUACCAUAGCAACUUUUACUAAGUUUUGAGGCACAGUGGUUUUCACAAAGGUAUAAUAAAACUGGAUUGUUGAAAACCCACAGUCAGCAUCUACCGUUAAUAUUUUGAUUUAACAUUAGUGAAUACCUAUCCUUCUUCAUAGCCACACUACAUUGCCUUGAAUUAUUUUAAUGCAAUAGUCAUUUGAGUAGUAAAAAAUAAUCUUGUGAAUGAUCUCAGUUUCAGCUUGGGGAGUGCUUAGAAACAUUUAAUCAGAUUUGUCAGAUCAAUGGAAAGAGUUUGCAUAAUGAAGAAUAAAGAACUUGCAGUAAUAUUACUUAAAUCAGAUAGGGGAAUUUAAAUUGAUUCUUAUUUGUUGUUUACUGUUCAGCUUUGUUAAGCUCCAAUGUAAUUUUUAACAUUAUUUACAGAAGCCAGUGUUCUGGCUUGUUGUUGUCCUGUUUUUUAUGCACUUAUUUCCAAUUUCAAGCAUUACUUUAACUUGUCUAUAGUCUUCUAACCUAGGUGCUUCCCUCCGUUGAUUAUAUUUUAGAAAACUUUGGCUCAUAAUUAUUCCCCAGUUUCAAAGUUUACUCCUAACAGCCCCAGCAUCAGCCAAGCAGACCCUGUCUCCUCCCCUCCCUCUCAGGACCCCUCUACACUGAUGUGCAUUAAUCAUCCAGCAUCACCUAAUGUAACACACACCUUUCUCUCAUACUCGAGGAUAUUUAGAACAUUCAGUGCCUUGUCCUCACACCCCUGGGCUGGAGACCAGGGAAUCCACGUCAGUGAAUUUCAGUGGAGUUUGUGUUUGUACAUGCACGGACAGGCUGUGAGGAAGGAGGUCCAAGUGCAGGGAUGGGAAGAUGCCCCAGUGAGAGCAUUCCAGGUACCCCUGGCCGGCCCAGCUCUGCUGGGGGCUGUCACACACAGGUUUGCUGUGCCAGGACAGGCUGGGGCUGCCUGCUUGUCUCUCCCAGUUAAUUCUCUUCUUGCUCACUGCUUCCUGCAGAGCAAACCUGUGUGCCCUGGGUCAAUGCGAGCUCCACAUCACUUCUGAGACCGUGCUAUAUAGCAUAUAUAGCAUAUAAAUAUAUUAUAUUUGGAGGCAGAAUUUUUCAUCUACUGUUUGUGUGAUGGAGGGGUAAAUGGGGUAAUUGUUUCUGGGCACAAAUUAAGCCAGUGUCAAGAGUGUUCUCUCUUUAUAAUGCUGGUUUUUUUUUUUUUUUUUUCCCAAGUUAGUCCCUGAUGCCCAACGUAGAUUUGCUUUCCAGCUAAGUAUAAUUUGGUAUUUUUCCAGAAGCACAAUUACCUGUAAAGUAAAGGCUCUGAGUUUUUAAAGAGGUGCUUUGGGAUUGUGUUUAUCAGAUUUGGGGAAGCCAUACCUUAUUAAGUGUUCUUUUUUCCCCCUGCCCGAAGGUUGAACAUUUUUUUUUCUGAAGUACAUCAAAGCUAGAAAAUGACAGGGCAAUUACUUCUUUUAAGAUUUAUUCAGUAGUAAUCAGUAAACAGAUACUGUCUCAUACCCACUCAGCAUGUUUUGUGUAUGCAGUUUGGUUUUGUGGAGGCAGAUGGCUGUCAAGUUAGAAACUUCAACACCAUGAGAUGCUAUUGACAGGAAUUUGAUCCCAUAGUAUUAACUGAAUCUGGGACCAAGUUUUGGCUCUGGCAAUGUUAUUAGCUGUGAAAUAGUUGCUUUUUUCCUUCGGCUGAUACCAACUGGCAUAUAGUUUGUGCAUGAUAAAUAGCCAAUGGUAAAACAGUUUUAGAUUUCUAUUUUGUAAUUUGUAUGAGUAAUAGUAUUAUGUUUGCUUAUCCCCUUUCAUCUGUGAAUCCUGUGUCCUUUCUGCUAUGCAGAGCAGUUGCUGUACAGGAAAGGAGGCAGCUGCCUGCCCUGCAGAACAGGCACAGGCUGGGAGCUUCCCUGGGAUGGUGAGAGAUGAGGUUUGCAGCCUUCCACGAUAGUGAGGAGAUGGAAUCUGGGUCUCUUGCGACUGGGAAGAGUUUCCUGAUCUCCAGGCUGUUAUUCAAAUGUUAUUUAAAUAUCAACAUAAGCACCCCCUCCUGGAAAAAAGCCCUUAGCAACUCUGUGUUACUCUGGCCACAGGGUAUCUUGAACAUACCCUGAGGAUAAACCCCUCAGCAAUCUAGAUUUUAGGGGUGCUCAGAGUGCGGAAGUUGGAGCCAGGCACAGAGGAGAAGCUCUCAGCAUUCAGGGAGCUUUAAGGGCAAAAGUGAAGUGCCUGGGAAGCAGAGGCUCAUCACUGGUUGGGAGGCACCUGUGUGUAUACUGAAAUAUAUACAGGAAUUGUUCCAAAUAGUGUAACCUUCUUUUGUAGAAGUGUGGGUAUUCCACUAUUGUCUUAAGGGUCACAGGACACUUUGCAUUUUUACAGUGUGAAAUAAGUGAAGGCUGGCUAGUUGAGAUGACAAGUGCUUUCAAGCUUUCUCCACAGGCAGAGAGUUGAAUGGUUCUCGACAGUGACUUGUGCUUUCCUGUGCAUCUGAGUCCAUCCGUAAUUGCAGCGCAGGUAUUUUAAUGCUGUGCCUGUUAAAAGCAUAACACAACACAAAUUGUGCAGGCAGAUUUUACAGUGAUGGUGUGGUUUCGUGCAAGUUUGUUUACUUUUUAUACUGUUGGCUUAGGAUGAUGCCGUGAACAGUCACUUGUCGUGUACACACAGCCCAAAAACCCCACACAGGUUUUUGUGUGAAGAAUUCAUGCUCUGUAUGUUGGACCAGCAGUUAAAUGGAUAGCUAUAAAAGCC